UACAGGGGGGGCAAGCGUUGUUCGGAAUUACUGGGCGUAAAGGGCUCGUAGGCGGCCAACUAAGUCCGACGUGAAAUCCCAAGGCUUAACCUUGGAACUGCGUCGGAUACUGGUUGGCUUGAAUUCGGGAGAGGGAUGCAGAAUUCCAGGUGUAGCGGUGAAAUGCGUAGAUAUCUGGAGGAAUACCGGUGGCGAAGGCGGCAUCCUGGACCGACAUUGACGCUGAGGGACGAAAGCUAGGGGAGCGAAUGGG
rnacentral:rRNA from 1 species